rnacentral:rRNA from 1 species
UACGAGGGGGGCAAAUGUUGUUCGGAAUUACUGGGCGUAAAGCGUGCGUAGACGGUUAUGUAAGUCAGAUGUGAAAGCCCCGGGCUCAACCUGGGAAUUGCAUUUGAGACUGCAUAGCUAGGAUGCGGAAGAGGGAAGUGGAAUUUCCGGUGUAGCGGUGAAAUGCGUAGAUAUCGGAAGGAACAUCAGUGGCGAAAGCGACUUCCUGGUCCAGCAUCGACGUUCAGGCACGAAAGCGUGGGGAGCAAACAGG